rnacentral:rRNA from 1 species
GAGUUUGAUCGUGGCUCAGAGCGAACGCUGGCGGCAGGCCUAACACAUGCAAGUCGAGCGGAUGUAGCAAUACAUCAGCGGCAGACGGGAGAGUAACACGUGGGAACGUGCCCUUUGGUUCGGAAUAACUCGGCGAAAGCCGUGCUAAUACCGGAUAAGCCCUUACGGGGAAAGAUUUAUCGCCAUUGGAGCGGCCCGCGUCUGAUUAGCUAGUUGGUGAGGUAAUGGCUCACCAAGGCGACGAUCAGUAGCUGGUCUGAGAGGAUGAUCAGCCUCACUGGGACUGAGACACGGCCCAGACUCCUACGGGAGGCAGCAGUGGGGAAUAUUGGACAAUGGGCGCAAGCCUGAUCCAGCCAUGCCGCGUGGAUGAUGAAGGCCUUAGGGUUGUAAAGUCCUUUUAACGGGGAAGAUAAUGACGGUACCGUAGAAUAAGCCCGGCUAACUUCGUGCCAGCAGCCGCUGU